GAAGAACAUAUGCCUCUGGUUUGCAAGUGGUGGCUGUCACAAUUUCUAACUUCUUUAAUCUUUCAACUUCCCUUGGUUCACGGACAAAUUUGAGGCUGGAUGCUCUCUUACUUUUCAGUCUAUUUCAGUCUGUUCUCUACAGAUGUUGAAUGUAUGUUCAGAACAAUUCUAUGUGAUCUGCCAUUUGAACUAAUAAAACCUGACAUUAGUUGUUCUU